GACGAACGCUGGCGGCGUGCCUAACACAUGCAAGUCGAACGGAAAGGCCCUGCUUUUGUGGGGUGCUCGAGUGGCGAACGGGUGAGUAACACGUGAGUAACCUGCCCUUGACUUUGGGAUAACUUCAGGAAACUGGGGCUAAUACCGGAUAGGAGCUCCUGCUGCAUGGUGGGGGUUGGAAAGUUUCGGCGGUUGGGGAUGGACUCGCGGCUUAUCAGCUUGUUGGUGGGGUAGUGGCUUACCAAGGCUUUGACGGGUAGCCGGCCUGAGAGGGUGACCGGCCACAUUGGGCCUGAGAUACGGCCCAGACUCCUACGGGAGGCAGCAGUGGGGAAUAUUACACAAUGGGCGGAAGCCUGAUGCAGCAACGCCGCGUGCGGGAUGACGGCCUUCGGGUUGUAAACCGCUUUCGCCUGUGACGAAGCGUGAGUGACGGUAAUGGGUAAAGAAGCACCGGCUAACUACGUG
rnacentral:rRNA from 1 species